CCUACGGGUGGCUGCAGUUUCGAAUCAUUCACAAUGGGCGAAAGCCUGAUGGUGCGACGCCGCGUGAGGGAUGAAGGUCUUCGGAUUGUAAACCUCUGUCACUGGGGAGAAAACGCUUUGAGUUAAUAGUUCAAAGCCUGAUUUAACCCGGAGAGGAAGCAGUGGCUAACUCUGUGCCAGCAGCCGCGGUAAUACAGAGACUGUAAGCGUUCGUCGAGUUCACGCAGGGGGUUGGGUGCGCCAGAUGUUAAAUCCCGAGGCUUAACCUCGGAACUGCGUCUGAAACUACUCGACUAGAGUACUGGAGAGGGAAACGGAAUUCACGGUGUAGCAGUGAAAUGCGUAGAUAUCGUGAGGAACACCAGAGGCGAAGGCGGUUUCCUGGACAGUUACUGACGCUCAGGCACGAAAGCAUGGGGAGCAAAAGGGAUUAGAUACCCCUGUAGUC
rnacentral:rRNA from 1 species